rnacentral:misc_RNA from 1 species
GAUGAAGAACGCAGCGAAAUGCGAUAAGUAAUGCGAAUUGCAGAAUUCAGUGAAUCAUCCAAUCUUUGAACGCACAUUGCGCCCGCUAGUAUUCUGGCGGGCAUGCCUGUCUGAGCGUCAUUUCAACCCUCGCCCCCGGCUUUUGCUGGGAGCGGUGUUGGGGAUCGGCCGCCCGUCACUGGGAGGCCGGCCCCGAAAUAGAGUGGCGACCACGCCGUGUGCUCCUCUGCGUAGUAGUAAAUCACCUCGCAGGCGGACAGCGGUGCGGCCUGCCGUAAAACCCCCAACUCUUUCUGGUUGACCUCAGAUCAGGUAGGAAUACCCGCUGAACUUAAGCAUAUCAAUAAGCGGAGGA